rnacentral:rRNA from 1 species
GAUGAACGCUAGCGGCAGGCUUAACACAUGCAAGUCGAGGGGCAGCACAGGUAGCAAUACUGGGUGGCGACCGGCAAACGGGUGCGGAACACGUACACAAUCUGCCUUUAUCUGGGGAAUAGCCCGAAGAAAUUCGGAUUAAUACCCCAUAACAUAUUUGGAUGGCAUCAUUUGAAUAUUAAAACUCCGGUGGAUAAAGAUGAGUGUGCGUCCCAUUAGCUAGUUGGCAGGGUAACGGCCUACCAAGGCGACGAUGGGUAGCUGGUGUGAGGGCACGACCAGCCACACGGGAACUGAGACACAGGCCCGACUCCUACGGGAGGCAGCAGUGAGGAAUAUUGGUCAAUGGACGCAAGUCUGAACCAGCCAUGCCGCGUGAAGGAUGAAGGCCUUCUGGGUUGUAAACUUCUUUUAUUGGGGAAGAAAAUUACGGUUUCUACUGUAACCGACGGUACCCAAGGAAUCAGCACCGGCUAACUCCGUGCCAGCCGCCGCCGUAA